CGUGGGAAGUUUUGUUUUGGAAACAUAAAAAUGGAAACAAAAGAAAGAACAAAGUCUCGAUUUCUUUGCUGAUUUGCUCAUCAAUUUUUCGGAUCUCUCUUCCUUUCUCCUCUGUGGAGUGAGAUUUGUAGGUUGAAGAAUUGUUCAGCCUCUUCAAAUCCGGUGAGCUCUUCAAUUCAAUUUUGCUUCAUUUAAUGGAACUAGCGAAACAGUGAGUGUGUAGUGUAGACUCUCGGUUGCGUUGCAGAGCUCCAUUUUGGUUUACGGUAAUGGCGUCGUCUCUGGACGAAAAGUUCGUCACCGAGGCUUCCAUUGGAGUCGGAACCGUUGUUGACUCCAGAGGAAAGCAUCGCAUUCUCGCCGAACUCAAGCGUCUUGAACAAGAACUCAGAUACUUGCAGGAAGAGUUGGAAGAAGUUGAGAAAAUGGGAAACAUCUCAUCAAUAUGCGAGGACUUGCUUCCCUGCAUCGAAACCAAAUCAGACCCACUUUUGCCUGUGCUGAAUGGUGUUGUAAAUCCACUAUGGCAUCGCUGGUUUGAAGGAUCCCCAAGCUCACCAGAGUGUAGCUGCUGGAUUCUAUAAACAACUGACAACUGUUCCCUUUAAACUUGGAAAAUGUCUAAGAUAUACACACUAAUCGACAUCUUCGAACACCAAAGCUCUGAUUUCUUAGUGGCACAUAACAAAGAAUAGUUUAGUUUGGUGACGAUAAUUGAUUACUACCCUUUCUACUACAAUAUUACUUGUGUAAUAUCUUUUCACUCUGCUUGGGACAGAAAUUGUAGAUUGCAAACAGACUAGCUUGUUGGUAAGACCAACUUCAGCUGUGGUAUCUCUAAAGUUCUUGCUCCAUUGAGGUUGGAUUGUGGAAGCAGCCCAAUGGGCCAAAGACAAUCCCAACCCAGGCCCAAUGUUUAUGAGAUAAUAUGGACGCAUAGGCAUCACAUCCGAGGUUCCAUAUGAGUAUCUUAUUGCUUUGAGAAAAGGUACAUUUUUUAAGAUUCAGAUUGUGAUUAGGAUAUUGAUGUCACUCCUUUUAGAUGAUGUAGAAUAGAAGUGAAAAUCAUUUUAAAAAAAAAAUUAUAUGAUUUUUCAUUAUAUUAGUUAACAUUAUAUUUUCAAAAUG